GUGUCCUCACCAGCAUGUAUGCUAAAAUUGGAAUAUACAGAGAAGAAUAACGUGACCCCUGGGUAAUGAUGACAUGUAAAUUUGUGAAGGAUUCCGUUUCUUA